UGGGGAAUAUUUCACAAUGGGCGCAAGCCUGAUGCAGCCAUGCCGCGUGUAUGAAGAAGGCCUUCGGGUUGUAAAGUACUUUCAGUCGGGAGGAAGGUGGUAAGGUUAAUAACCUUAUCAAUUGACGUUACCGACAGAAGAAGCACCGGCUAACUCCGUGCCAGCAGCCGCGGUAAUACGGAGGGUGCAAGCGUUAAUCGGAAUUACUGGGCGUAAAGCGCACGCAGGCGGUUGAUUGAGUCAGAUGUGAAAUCCCCGGGCUUAACCCGGGAAUUGCAUCUGAUACUGGUCAGCUAGAGUCUUGUAGAGGGGGGUAGAAUUCCAUGUGUAGCGGUGAAAUGCGUAGAGAUGUGGAGGAAUACCGGUGGCGAAGGCGGCCCCCUGGACAAAGACUGACGCUCAGGUGCGAAAGCGUGGGGAGCAAACAGG
rnacentral:rRNA from 1 species